GACAGAGGCCUCGAGCGUUAGGCGGAAUCACUGGGCUUAAAGCGUGUGUAGGCGGAUCGUUAAGUGCCUUGUGAAAUCCCACGGCUUAACUGUGGAACGGCUGGGCAUACUGGCGGUCUUGAGCCAUCUAGGGGCGACUGGAACAAACGGUGGAGCGGUGAAAUGCGUAGAUAUCGUUUGGAACGCCAAUGGUGAAAACAGCUCGCUGGGGGUUUGCUGACGCUGAGACACGAAAGCCAGGGGAGCAAACGGG
rnacentral:rRNA from 1 species